rnacentral:rRNA from 1 species
CAGUCGCCGCGGGAAUACGAAGGGGGCUAGCGUUGCUCGGAAUUACUGGGCGUAAAGGGAGCGUAGGCGGACAUUUAAGUCAGGGGUGAAAUCCCAGAGCUCAACUCUGGAACUGCCUUUGAUACUGGGUGUCUUGAGUGUGAUAGAGGUAUGUGGAACUCCGAGUGUAGAGGUGAAAUUCGCAGAUAUUCGGAAGAACACCAGUGGCGAAGGCGACAUACUGGAUCAUUACUGACGCUGAGGCUCGAAAGCGUGGGGAGCAAACAGGAUUAGAUACCCCCGUAGUCCCUGUCUCUUAUAC